GGACCGGUGCAUUACCGAAGCAUGUGGGCUGUUGAGAGGUUUUUGGGCAAGUUGAAGAGUAUGAUCCAUACGCUAAGUCACCCAGAGGGAUCAAUAGCAGAGGGAUAUGUUUUGGAUGAUACUCUUACAUUUUGCUCACGAUAUUUGCAUGGUUGUCCAACCAUAUUCACUCAAACAGGACGACAUAAUGAUUUUAUUGGCCCCAAUGACUCGACAAACCAUCAACCAUACUUGAGAAUAGUCGGUCGUCCUUUAUCUGGUCAUUGUGUUGAAGAACUAGACUACACGUCAUGGGUCCAAGCUCAAAGAUAUGUGUUGGUCAAUAAUCCCCACAUUGCUCCAUAUGUCUAACAACAUCACGAUAUUCUAUCAGCGGGUCAACGCAAAAGAAUACGUGAUGUAGAAUGCUCCCAUCAAAAUAGUUUCCACACUUGGUUUGCUGACCGUGUUCAGUCAUUGAUUUCCAAUAAUGUUAAGAUCCAUGAAGAAGUUAAAGUCUUAGCACAAAAGCCAUAUGGGAUGGUGAGAAAGUACAAUGCUUACUCUAUAAAUGGAUGCACUUUCCACACAAGGGGAUAUGGUGAUGGAAAAGAAGCGCAAUGUGAUGGAGUAUCUAUGAUUGCUAAGACAUCUAGUUUCUCAAGUGCUAAAGAUAAGAAUCCAGCUUUAGGAGAUGUUGCUUACUAUGGACAAAUCACUGAAAUAGUUGAGCUGAAUUAUUCAAACAAAGGCAACGUGGUUUUAUUCAAGUGCUAUUGGGUUGAUAGUGUUCGCCCUGAUGCUGGGGUUCGAAAGGACCCAUAUGGAGUAACUGAGGUGACUUUUAACCACUUGCUAAGCAGCAGUAGUGAUAUAUUUGAUGAGCCAUUUAUC